rnacentral:rRNA from 1 species
AUUGAACGCUGGCGGCAUGCUUUACACAUGCAAGUCGAACGGUAACAGGCCGCAAGGUGCUGACGAGUGGCGAACGGGUGAGUAAUGCAUCGGAACGUGCCCAGUCGUGGGGGAUAACUACUCGAAAGAGUAGCUAAUACCGCAUACGAUCUAUGGAUGAAAGCGGGGGACCGUAAGGCCUCGCGCGAUUGGAGCGGCCGAUGUCAGAUUAGGUAGUUGGUGGGGUAAAGGCUCACCAAGCCAACGAUCUGUAGCUGGUCUGAGAGGACGACCAGCCACACUGGGACUGAGACACGGCCCAGACUCCUACGGGAGGCAGCAGCGGGGAAUUUUGGACAAUGGGCGCAAGCCUGAUCCAGCAAUGCCGCGUGCAGGAAGAAGGCCUUCGGGUUGUAAACUGCCUUUGUACGGAACGAAACGGCUCUGGUUAAUACCCGGGGCUAAUGACGGUACCGUAAGAAUAAGCACCGGCUAACUACGUG